rnacentral:lncRNA from 1 species
CAAAAACCCAAAAAGACAAGACUUGGAGUUUCUGAAUUGGUGAACAAUGGAGAGUGGUGCCCCAGGAGUGGCAAUGGAAGCUCUGCGCUUCUUCUCACAUACAUUGCACUAUGCAUCUCUUCCAUCUGAGUAUUUAUCUGUAUCCUUUCUGGUAUUAUCAUCAUCCCCGUUUUACAGAUGGGAAAACUCACCCAGAGGUGCUACGGAACUUGCGCAAGAUCACAGAGCUAUGAGAGCAGAGCAGGGAAGCAGCCCCGGAUGG